rnacentral:rRNA from 1 species
AGUGAACGCUGGCGGUAGGCCUAACACAUGCAAGUCGAACGGCAGCACAGUAAGAGCUUGCUCUUACGGGUGGCGAGUGGCGGACGGGUGAGGAAUACAUCGGAAUCUACUUUUUCGUGGGGGAUAACGUAGGGAAACUUACGCUAAUACCGCAUACGACCUACGGGUGAAAGCAGGGGAUCUUCGGCCCUUGCGCGAUUGAAUGAGCCGAUGUCGGAUUAGCUAGUUGGCGGGGUAAAGGCCCACCAAGGCGACGAUCCGUAGCUGGUCUGAGAGGAUGAUCAGCCACACUGGAACUGAGACACGGUCCAGACUCCUACGGGAGGCAGCAGUGGGGAAUAUUGGACAAUGGGCGCAAGCCUGAUCCAACCAUACCGCGUGGGUGAAGAAGGCCUUCGGGUUGUAAAGCCCUUUUGUUGGGAAAGAAAAGCAGCAGGUUAAUACCCCGCUGUUCUGACGGUACCCAAAGAAUAAGCACCGGCUAACUUCGUG